UCCCCCCUUCCAUGCCCAAGAAGACUAGCAGGUCUGAAGAUUUGGACCGGCCGGUGGAGGAGAGGAGAGCAACUACUCCAGCUAUUAGCCCAUAGCCACUCCUCUCCAUCCAUCCUUAUCCCCCAACACAAAUCAUCUCUCUCACUGCGACUCCUCUCCUCUUCUCCAAACCAUGACUCUUUCGCCGCUGUUUGUUAAAUCUGUGAUGAGGCUGUGGUGGGGUUGCUGGUGAGUCGGCCGGCGGCGUCGGUGACGACCAUCCUCUACUACAGCCGAGCGCUGCCGAGGAACCGCAGCUUGGAGCGGCUGGUCCGCGUCGAUCUGCUCGACGAUGAGAACUACCUGUUCCAUUUCCUAAUCGGCAUGCUGAGGUGCUUCUGGUAGAAUAUUCAUCGGUGUCCUCUCCACAUCGCAUACUGGGAAGCUGGUGGCGAUCGACUUAAUUGUAUUCGUGCGGGAUGAUGAAUUCUUGAGCUUUAAUUAAGUUCUUGUUGGGAGAUGAAAAUCCUGUAUUCUUCUAUCGUCUUUUCUUGUUUUCAGUCUUCCAUACAGAUUAAGCUAAAUUGAUUUCCUGCAAGCAUGGCUGCUAUGUGGGUUCUCUCCUUAUUCUUAAUGAGAAAACUGGUUGGUAAAGUGACAGUUUCUUUA